rnacentral:rRNA from 1 species
CCUACGUGAGGCUGCAGUGGGGAAUAUUGGGCAAUGGGCGAAAGCCUGACCCAGCAACGCCGCGUGAAGGAAGAAGGCUUUCGGGUUGUAAACUUCUUUUGACAGGGAAGAGCAGAAGACGGUACCUGUCGAAUAAGCCACGGCUAACUACGUGCCAGCAGCCGCGGUAAUACGGAGGAUGCGAGCGUUAUCCGGAUUUAUUGGGUUUAAAGGGUGCGUAGGCGGGACCUUAAGUCAGCGGUAAAAUUGCGGUGCUCAACGCCGUAGAGCCGUUGAAAAUGGGGCUCUUGAGUGAGCGAGAAGUAUGCGGAAUGCGUGGUGUAGCGGUGAAAUGCAUAGAUAUCACGCAGAACCCCGAUUGCGAAGGCAGCAUACCGGCGCUCAACUGACGCUGAGGCACGAAAGUGCGGGUAUCGAACAGGAUUAGAUACCCGGGUAGUC